GGAAUUGUUCACAAUGGGCGCAAGCCUGAUGACGCAACGCCGCGUGGAGGAUGAAGGUCUUCGGAUUGUAAACUCCUGUUGCCCGGGACGAAUGGCUCCAACCUAACACGUUGGAGUGUGCCGGUACCGGGUGAGGAAGCCCCUGCUAACUCAGUGCCAGCAGCCGCGGUAAUACAGCGGGGGCAAGCGUUGUGCGGAAUUACGGGGCGUAAAGGGCGCGUAGGCGGCACGCUAAGUCGAACGUGAAAUCCCCGAGCUCAACUCGGGAACUGCGUCCGAUACUGGCAGGCUUGAAUCCGGGAGAGGGAUGCGGAAUUCCAGGUGUAGCGGUGAAAUGCGUAGAUAUCUGGAGGAACACCGGUGGCGAAGGCGGCAUCCUGGACCGGCAUUGACGCUGAUGCGCGAAAGCUAGGGGAGCAA
rnacentral:rRNA from 1 species